rnacentral:rRNA from 1 species
UACGUAGGGGGCAAGCGUUGUCCGGAAUCAUUGGGCGUAAAGCGCGUGUAGGCGGCUAGGUAAGUCUGCUCUGAAAGCCCGGGGCUCAACCCCGGGAGGCGGGUGGAUACUGUCUAGCUCGAGUCCGGAAGAGGAGUGUGGAAUUCCUGGUGUAGCGGUGAAAUGCGCAGAUAUCAGGAGGAACACCAAUGGCGAAGGCAGCACUCUGGGACGUGACUGACGCUGAGGAGCGAAAGCGUGGGUAGCAAACAGG